UACGUAGGGGGCAAGCGUUGUCCGGAAUUAUUGGGCGUAAAGCGCGCGCAGGUGGUUCUUUAAGUCUGAUGUGAAAGCCCACGGCUCAACCGUGGAGGGUCAUUGGAAACUGGGGAACUUGAGUGCAGAAGAGGAAAGUGGAAUUCCAAGUGUAGCGGUGAAAUGCGUAGAGAUGCGGAGGAACACCGAUGGCGAAGGCAGCCCCCUGGGCUGACACUGACGCUCAGGCACGAAAGCGUGGGGAGCAAACAGG
rnacentral:rRNA from 1 species